AGCUGCACGCACAGCCGCUCCUCGGCCUCCUCCGCGACGGCCAGCCUCGCCAGCGCCGCCUCCAGCUCCCGCCGCAGCCGCUCCUCCCUCGCUGCCGCCUCCGCCGCCGCCUUCUCCAGCUCGGCGUUCCGCCUCAUCGCCUCGCUGGCGUCCAUGGCCGCCGCCGUCCUAUCGAUCGUCCUCACAAUACACAAUGUACAGUGUCGCAAGAACGGCCAAGGUUCAAAGCUGCUCCGGGUCUCUUCACAUUUUGGUCUCCUUUUAAAGGCGGGAAAAUGGGUGCCGCAUGGCCUGAAGCCGCGAGGAGAAACUAGAAGGCGUCCAGGUUCAGUGAACAGAUCACAGCAACUGGGUUUGGAUGCAAGAUGAUGCCAUCCAGUCCGUCAUCGCCUCUCGAGACACCUUAAUUGCCCGUACGUCUCUCUGUUCUCCCUAUUGUCUUCCUCAUGAUUCAUUUCGAGACAUCACAAGUGUUGAACGUGACUGCCGCUACCUCCGUCCUAUAUUAUGUGACUAAAUUUUUUUAAAAUUUUAAAUAAGACGAAUGAUCAAACUUCAGACAUAAAAAUUGAAAAAUAAAAUUAUUAUAGAAGGGAGGUAGCAGGGGAUAGAGAAAAAAAGUCCCGGCGAUGGAGCAUGAAUAAUUCGCCGGUACUCCCUCUUGAACCAGAAACAAACGGUGUCUUAUACAUGGUAUUAUCGUUUAAUAAGUUAAACUUAGCAGAUAUUCUUUUUAUUGAUGAAUGAUUAUCUAAUUUUUAUAGUCAGUUUAAUUGUAUAAACAAUGAAAUUAACUACUAUAAAAUUAAAUAUAUAUAUACACACACACUUUAGAAAAAAAACAUUGCUUAGCAGUUUAAAAAUUACGCAUGUAAAAACCGAGGAAUAAUCUGAUCCAUAAAAACACAGAUAAGGGUAUAAAUAUGGAUGACAGUGAACGGAUUUCUUUGUUGACCUUUUUAUAUCUUCUAGAUUAGACUUGCCUGAAGAAAAAAGUAAAAUAAUAUUUUUUAUUACCGAUGAAUUAUAUGCACCUAAGUAGUGUUAACGCGUGUAUAAAAGUUUUUAUUUAUAAAAUAUUUUUAUUACAAAUAAGUUGUUACGUUUUUUCUCUUACAAAGCUAAGCGAUAGGAGCCCUAGUGUGGGGUUAUUUCUACGAUGCUGACUUCUGCCUUUUUAUUUCUUUAUUUUUGUCAUUUCUUUGUGCAAAAAAAAAUGUUUGGGUGAUCAGUCUUAUUCAAUCCGAUUGUGCACAUUUCAUGCAGAUAAAACCGAAGAAAACAUCAUAGAUUGGAGAAAAACCUCCUCACCUACACUACACGGGAGGCUUGAUGCUCUGAGGCUGAUCAGCUCAUGAGUGCAAGCGAUCGAUCGAAAGGCACGUCUGCUUUACUGGUACAUGUACUGUGACAAUAUAUUACAUGUGUCGAGAAAACCCUCACAUUUCAUCUUCCUUGACGGUGAAAUGCUCACCAAUCAUCACCAAUUGGCC
rnacentral:lncRNA from 1 species